rnacentral:misc_RNA from 1 species
AAGUCGUAACAAGGUAACCGUAGGUGAACCUGCGGUUGGAUCAUUAUCGAAUUAUAGUGGCUAUCCGUGUAUUCGGAGAAACCAUUAUUAUCAACCCCUUGUGAACUUGAACGUAUUUUGGCGGCCCUCCAUGUACGUUGUGAAAUUUCUUCGGAAGUUUCGCGACGAUGGGCCGUCAGCUUUUGAACUACUCUUGUAUCUGUUUUAUAUUGUGUCUUGCAUAAGGAACGUUUCGACGCGCUUUAUGUUUUUAAAAUUAAUAAACAACUUUUGACAACGGAUCUCUUGGCUCUC